ensembl:lncRNA
GUCAGCGGCCUGGGCACAGCUGGGUUCUCCUUUAGGAUCUCCCGGGGUAGAAAUACAGGCAUCAGCUGGGCUGAGGGCCUCCUCUCAAGUUCGGGGGUUGUUGGCAGAAUUCAUUUCCUCCUCCAGCUGUCCACGCAGCCCCUCCCAUCUUCAGGUCAGUAAUGCCACCAGGUCGAGUCCUUCUCACGCUUCCAGUGUCUCCAUCUUCUGUGCUGCCUCUGUCCUGCUUCCUCUUCUGCCCUCAGCCCACAGACAGUUCUGCUGCUGAGGGCUCCUGCGGUUACACUGGGUGCACCCGGACCAUCCAGGACACUCUCCCCGUUUUAAAGUCAAACUUAUGAAUAACCUUCAUUACAUCCACAAAGGCCUUUAUGCCAUGGCGGUGAUGGAAGGAUGUGUUCCAGGCCUCUCUCCUGGGCUUGUGGAUGCCAUCUUCUCCCUGUGGAUUCGCAUCGUCUUCCUUCUGUAUGGAACUGCCCUGCACUGCAGCUAUUGACUUUAGGAAGAAUGAAUGGACCAAUUUUACUCUGAAAUAUAUUGCUGGGUGAUGGUGACAGUGGAAUGUGUGGACCAAAGAUGCCCUGACAUAGUCAAAAAGGGUGACUUCCUUGGGGGAUGACUGAUUUCCUAUCAAGAGUAGACCAGGAAUGACUGGAGAUGAUGAACUUACACAAAAUCCAGAAGAACCAGAGGGCCCCAGAAAAUUAAUGUUUAAAAAUCUGAUAUAAGAGAUGCGUAACUCUUCCUUAACAUAGCAAAUCCUGAGAAACUAAGAAAAUCAUUCAAAGAUUCCAUUUCAAACAUUCUUAUGAAUGCUUUAAGAUAUUUUUCUGUUUAAUUUUUAUUAUGUUUGGCUGAGUGAUGUUUUCUUAUAAAUAAAUCAACAAAGCCAAACAGUAAUACAUAAAGGCUUACUGACAAGAUUCUGCCAAAAACAGAGAUUUCCAUAUUUUGAAAGAAAUCGGUUUUCAAUCUGUGAUGUGUUCCCUGUAACUCAUUUCCUUUUCCUCCUAGGCACAUGACUCUCUUUCUUACCCUCCACUGUUAAUUGUGGCCAUGUGACUGAGUUCUAGAUAAUGGAAUGUGGGAAGAAAUGUGUUCCUUCUCUAAGAUUGUCAUAAAAAACUCUCCCACAAGUCUACAUAUGCUCUGUCCCCUCUUGUGACUGACGGGAGAAGACAAGAGCACCGAGAGAAGAGAGGAGCCAAAAAUGGAAAGAGCCUUGGUCUGUGAAUGACCAGAGAGAAGGUGAUGUGAAAAGGAAAGUCAACAUAGGACAGGAAAGUUAGAGAAAACGGCACCUCUGCUGUUUGGAGGCAUCAUACGUUUUGGAUUGGUUUGUAAUGCAGUAAGCCUAUGCUAAACCACGCAGGUGGAAAAUGGGAAAUUAGUUUUGACGUCCUCUCUCUCCGUUGAGGAGAGGGCUGGGUCUUCACCUUUGAAUAUCUGGCAGAUGGCUUUGUAUUAUUAGGUGCUGCAUAAACAUUUGCUGAAAGGUGUUGAUCUACUCUCCAGAUCCUGCUUCUUUUCCUGAGCCAGCGACCCAGAGGAUGACGUUCCAAGAGCCCAUGUCCUCCUCAGACCUGUAUCCAGAAGCAAUUGGGGCUAUUUCAUUUCAAAAAACUCUUUUCAAGUAUACUUUGCCUAUACCUGAUGCAAAGGAACUUUGGCAUGAACGAAUUCACCCGUCAAUAUUUCUUUUUUGAGCGAUUUUCUUCUGUUGCAAUUUAAAAGAGACUUUUUUGAGAAGUAAGAAAAGGCUAACAUCACUUAUUUGGGGAUAAUGUCUGUUUACUGGCUAGGAAGCAGGAGAAAAGGAUUCUUUGUAUUGUAAAACAUAUAGUUUAGUUUUUAUCUCCAAGGAAUUUGAACUUUCUUGGAAUAGAGGGGAAAUUACUUUCUAUGAUUCUUUCUAGAAUCUUCUCUUCAUACUAAAGACAUCAUGAUAACCUGCUGUUUCUUGGGGGACUACUGUCUGAGCUGAGUGGAUUAUCUAUAGCAGGUCUUCUUCCUUGAAGACAUUCUUUUACACAUCAAAGUGGUGAUAUUCUCAGUUUUCAAAAAAUAUUUGUUCCUAAUUAAUUGUAUUAGGUACCUCGGUAGAUGGUACAUAAAUAUUCAAACAGAAAUGGCUCCUGCUUUUUGUAAACCGUUCUCCACACAGGCAGAAGCCACUAAGGUGGACUUAGAAAUAACACAGUAAAACCACACAAGUGUCAAACGUAGAAUAGAUGGCAACAUUUAAAAGGAAAAAAACCUCUAGUGUGGGAGGAUGGAAGCACACAGAGAGCAUUUCAAAGAAGAAAGGAUAUACACCUUCUUUAGCCCUAUGAUUGCUCUCUAAGGAUUCUUAAGCCAGAUGCUUCUUUGGCUCUGUAAAACCUGUGUCAUCAUUACUGUCAGGGUACGUGAGAUAUUAGCAGGAUGGCUGCCUUUACGGAACAGAGUACAUGGCAACUCCAUCCUUCCAGUUGAUCAGCCCGAUAACCUUGGAGUCACCCUCAUGUUCUUUCAUCCUCUCAUGCCCCAUACCCAAUCUUUCAGGAAAUCCCGACGCUCUACGUUUAAAACAUGCUGAUCACCCAUCCACUCCUCCCACCUUCACAGCUGCUGUCGUAGACCAAGCCGCCGUCAGCUCUUGUCUGAUGGCUGUUGUGUCUGCCCAGCUGGACUCCCUGCUCCAGCACAUGCUCCUCUUUACACUUUACUUUCCUUACGGCAGCCAGCAUAAUCCUUUCAGAUUCGUGUGUCGCUCCUCAAAUAAAUUUGGCAAUGGCUUCCCAAUUUACAGGAGUCUAUAGUGUACUGUUACUGUACGUGGUGUGGCCCCUGGGCCUUCUGACCUCGUCUGGUAACACUUUCCUCAUUGCUCCUCCAUCCCAGCCACACUGGCCAUGCUCCUCCUCUUGGAACACACCCGGCACGCCCUUGCGAGGGGGCGCUCUGCCUGCCGCCUUUAAUGCUCUUCCCCUCUGCAUUCCUUAAGGCAUGAUAACUGCUAUGAGAAGAUCCAAAACUCUGUAACGCCUCCAACAGUGGACAGUUUCUUCCUCACCUACAGUGUUGGGCAGGUGAACGGCUCCGUGGGGAGCUGUUGUUCCAUGCUGUCUUCUGGAACCCAGACUACAGAAGAGUCUGCUGUGCUCGGCAAGAGGCUUCCAAUGAGGCUCUGGACGGCGCUCCUUCACACCAACCAGAAGAAGAGAGCACGGGGAAGUUCGAGUGGGAGCUCUCUGUUGGACAGGCUGGACAGCACAGUCAUCACCUCCGCUCAAGUUGCAUCGACUGGAACCAAGUCACACGGCUGAGCCUGAUAGCAGGGGAGCUGGGAAAUGUGGUUCAGUCUGGGCCAGGAGGGUAGAGAAGUUCUGGUAAGCAGUUGACCACCUCUGCCACAACCUAGGAGCCACUCAAAUUUCUCUGGCACUUUCUUUAGGUGUCUUCUCAAAUAUCACCUUCUCAUUGAGCCCUUUACUCAUUAUCCAAUACAACACCGUAGCUCUGCACUUGCUCUUCUAUUUUUUUCUAUAGGAUUUAUUUAUUUUUUUAUGUUUUUCUGUUUCAUUUUUUUCUAUAGGAUUUAUUGUCACUAUGUGUUUGCUCUUUAUUUUUAAAAAUUGUUUAUUGGGGGGGGGCCAGCCCCGUGGCACAGCGGUUAAGUUCACACGUUCCACUUCCGUGUCCUGGGGUUUGCCAGUUCAGAUCCCAGGCGCGGACCUAUGUACCCUUUGGCAAGCCAUGCUGUGGCAGGCGUUCCACAUAUAAAGCAGAAGAAGAUGAGCAUGGAUGUUAGCUCAGGGCCAGUCUUCCUCAGCAAAAAGAGGAGGAUUGCUGGCAGAUGUUAGCUCAGGGCUAAUCUUCCUCAAAAAAAACCCCGAACAAACAAAGAAACAAAAAAUUGUUUAUCGGUAGUGGGUUGAAUUGUGGUCCCUCAAAAAGAUAUGGCCAUGUCCUAAUUCCUGGCACUUGUGAACGUGGCCCUAUUUGGAAAAAGGAUCUUUUCAGAUGUAAUUAAGGAUCUCGAGAUGAGUCGUCCUGGAUCACCUGGGUGGGUCCUAACUCCAAGGACAGGUGCCCUCACAAGAGAAGAGAGAAGACACACCGGGAAAGGCCACGUGAAGAAGGAGGCAGAGAUUGGAGACGCGCAGCCACAGCCAAGGGUCCUCCCCUAGGCCUUGAGAGGGAGCUUGGCCCUGCCCGCAACUUCAUUUCAGACUUCUGCCCCCAGCACUGCGAGAAAAUAAAUUUCUGUUGGUGUAAGCCACCCAGUUUGGAGUAAUCUAUUAUGACGGCCCUAGGAAAGGAAUACGUCCCCCCGGCUCUAACGCAAACUCUGGAGAGCAGAGACUGUUCUGUUCAUUGCUGUAGCUUUCCCUGCACAGAGCAGAGCCUGGCCGGUAGCGAGCGCUCUGCAAAUACUCGUUGAAUGAAUGAGUGAGUAGAAACGGGGAAAUGUCUCUCCAGCCGACUCCAGAUGUCAUCUCUUUUUCGAACAGUUUCAUGGUCUGCCCCAGAGUUUUCUGGUGUGUCCUCAUUCUGAGACAGUCGCGAGUAGAGGUCAGGAGCAGAGGAUCUGAACUUUCACAGACUCAGACUGAAACUCUGACCAUGGAACCACUGGCAACUGUGAUCUCGGACAAGUUAGUUAAUAUUCCUAAAGCUCAAUUUCUGCACAAGAUUGUUGGGAGGAUUAAAUGAGCUUAUAUAUGUAUGUGUAUUUUGUAUAUAUGUGUAUAUAUACUCCUACUGUAGUGCUUGACCAUGUAAGUUUACAGGAAAUCACUAUUAUAAUAAUUAUAAUUAGUUGGGAUUAAACUGAAACUUUACAGACUCCAUCUUUUCAUUCCAAAUUUCUUUGAAAUGACAUCCAUCAACUAUAACAUUUCUUUACUAAGAAUUUCAACCAAGCAAGCCGUUCUUGACCACAAAAUUCCCUAUUACAACAUUUCAGUAUUCAUAGAUUUACUUCUGUGAACCCCAUAUAAACCAUGAUAUCC